rnacentral:rRNA from 1 species
UACGGAGGGCGCGAGCGUUAAUCGGAAUUACUGGGCGUAAAGCGCGCGUAGGCUGUUGUGUAAGUUGGGGGUGAAAUCCCACGGCUCAACCGUGGAACAGCCCUUGAUACUGCGCGACUUGAAUCCGGGAGAGGGUGGCGGAAUUCCAGGUGUAGGAGUGAAAUCCGUAGAUAUCUGGAGGAACAUCAGUGGCGAAGGCGGCCACCUGGACCGGUAUCGACGCUGAGGCGCGAAAGCGUGGGGAGCAAACAGG